rnacentral:rRNA from 1 species
ACGCGGGCACUGGCGACGAGUGGCGAACGGGUGAGUAAUAUAUCGGAACGUGCCCAGUCGUGGGGGAUAACUGCUCGAAAGAGCAGCUAAUACCGCAUACGACCUGAGGGUGAAAGCGGGGGAUCUUCGGACCUCGCGCGAUUGGAGCGGCCGAUAUCAGAUUAGGUAGUUGGUGGGGUAAAGGCCUACCAAGCCGACGAUCUGUAGCUGGUCUGAGAGGACGACCAGCCACACUGGGACUGAGACACGGCCCAGACUCCUACGGGAGGCAGCAGUGGGGAAUUUUGGACAAUGGGGGCAACCCUGAUCCAGCCAUGCCGCGUGCGGGAAGAAGGCCUUCGGGUUGUAAACCGCUUUUGUCAGGGAAGAAAUCCUUUGGGCUAAUAACUCGGAGGGAUGAC